GACGAACGCUGGCGGCGUGCUUAACACAUGCAAGUCGAACGGAAAGGCCCUGCUUUUGUGGGGUGCUCGAGUGGCGAACGGGUGAGUAACACGUGAGUAACCUGCCCUUGACUUUGGGAUAACUUCAGGAAACUGGGGCUAAUACCGGAUAGGAGCUCCUGCUGCAUGGUGGGGGUUGGAAAGAUUCGGCGGUUGGGGAUGGACUCGCGGCUUAUCAGCUUGUUGGUGGGGUAGUGGCUUACCAAGGCUUUGACGGGUAGCCGGCCUGAGAGGGUGACCGGCCACAUUGGGACUGAGAUACGGCCCAGACUCCUACGGGAGGCAGCAGUGGGGAAUAUUGCACAAUGGGCGGAAGCCUGAUGCAGCAACGCCGCGUGCGGGAUGACGGCCUUCGGGUUGUAAACCGCUUUCGCCUGUGACGAAGCGUGAGUGACGGUAAUGGGUAAAGAAGCACCGGCUAACUACGUGCCAGCAGCCGCGGUGAUACGUAGGGUGCGAGCGUUGUCCGGAUUUAUUGGGCGUAAAGGGCUCGUAGGUGGUUGAUCGCGUCGGAAGUGUAAUCUUGGGGCUUAACCCUGAGCGUGCUUUCGAUACGGGUUGACUUGAGGAAGGUAGGGGAGAAUGGAAUUCCUGGUGGAGCGGUGGAAUGCGCGGAUAUCAGGAGGAACACCAGUGGCGAAGGCGGUUCUCUGGGCCUUUCCUGACGCUGAGGAGCGAAAGCGUGGGGAGCGAACAGGCUUAGAUACCCUGGUAGUCCACGCUGUAAACGGUGGGUACUAGGUGUGGGGUCCAUUCCACGGGUUCCGUGCCGUAGCUAACGCUUUAAGUACCCCGCCUGGGGAGUACGGCCGCAAGGCUAAAACUCAAAGGAAUUGACGGGGCCCCGCACAAGCGGCGGAGCAUGCGGAUUAAUUCGAUGCAACGCGUAGAACCUUACCUGGGUUUGACAUGGAUCGGGAGUGCUCAGAGAUGGGUGUGCCUCUUUUGGGGUCGGUUCACAGGUGGUGCAUGGCUGUCGUCAGCUCGUGUCGUGAGAUGUUGGGUUAAGUCCCGCAACGAGCGCAACCCUUGUUCACUGUUGCCAGCACGUUAUGGUGGGGACUCAGUGGAGACCGCCGGGGUCAACUCGGAGGAAGGUGGGGAUGACGUCAAGUCAUCAUGCCCCUUAUGUCCAGGGCUUCACGCAUGCUACAAUGGCUGGUACAGAGAGUGGCGAGCCUGUGAGGGUGAGCGAAUCUCGGAAAGCCGGUCUCAGUUCGGAUUGGGGUCUGCAACUCGACCUCAUGAAGUCGGAGUCGCUAGUAAUCGCAGAUCAGCAACGCUGCGGUGAAUACGUUCCCGGG
rnacentral:rRNA from 1 species